rnacentral:lncRNA from 1 species
AAAAAAAAUAAUAAAAGAACUGAAAACCAAUUUUCACAUAAAACAUGUAAAGUAGGGUAUAAAAAGAUGUGAAAAUACAAACUGUUUGAGAUGGAUAAAAUGAUGUGAAACAAAAAUGUUCACUAAAACAAAUGGCAGUCCCUUGCAUACAAGAAAUUAGCACUAAAAUAGAAAAAAGAAAAAUAGAUUGAUGAACUGUUAAAUGCAAUAUGAGUUAUGACUAAUAUAGUAUUAAAAUGCAUGAAAUACUUUAACAAUGUUAUUAGAUGACUUUCAAAUAAUCACAGUACCUAUUUCAAAAUGAUUUAUGUAUUUACCUCAGGUUAAGCAGUGUAACUCAUUCACAAAUUCACAAAAAAAAAACAACUGGAGAUUGGUCUGUAACUUAGUCACUGCACAGAAGAAGGUUCAAAACAGGUCAGACAAUGAAUCAUUUCUAUUAAGCUUAGUGAAUGGUGUGUAUUGGCAUCACGUACAUAUCAAAAUUAUUCAAUGGUAUUACUAUAAUGGCAAUAUAUACAAUGAAUAGCAUAGACAAAAGUUUACACAAAGAACAAAUGAUGACUGUGUCAAAAAAGGUUCUCAAAGAUAGACACUGAUACAUGUGUUCUUUAUAAAUAUGACAAAACAGGUAUCUUUGGCUAUUAAAUCAAUUUGACAACUAGGUGAUUUGUCUAUAAAACUUUGAUGAACAGUCUAAAAAAGCAAUUGGUCAGACUUAGAGAUCUUUUUUCAACAUUACAAGUAGAAAAUUAUAAGCUAUAAAUUAUAGUAUCACAUCCAUAUUAACAAUUUGCAAGGAAAUUUAUUUAGAUAGCAACUCGCUGAAUGAAUAUAGCAUCAUAUGGCAAUGAUGCAAAGAAAACUUUAUGAAACUGAAAGUUAUUUACUUCCCUGAUUUAGAGGGUAACUGGAAAUGGUUACUCUUUUAUCAAAUGACUUAGAUGAAGGAGGGUCUGGAAGGGGGGGUCUGUUAUUCUGUCAACAUUUAAUUUUCACCCCUUUUUUCUCUAAUCUUCAAAAAAUUAACCUCUUUUUUUCUCUCUAAUCUUCAAAAAAUUAACCCUUUUUUUCUCUAAUCUUCAUUUUUUUUUGCCCGUUAUUCUCUAAUCUUCAUUUUUUAAGGGCAUUAUUCUUUUAAUCAUUUAACCCCAUCCAAACCCUCAUGAAGGUAUAAGACACUAGAAGAUGAAAUAAGAGCAAUUGUCUACUUAGGCACAUAACAUGCAUAAGGUGGUUUAUGAACAUAACAAAUCGUAUCCCUGAGUAUAAUAUGCUAAUCUAAUGUGAAGUAUUGCUGUCACCAUACAAGUGAAGUGCACUAUUAUUUUACAUUGUUACAAUAUGCUAUUCUAAUAUGAAGUAAUGCAUUUAUAUGCAAUAUCUAAAUUAAGCAUCGCAACUAACGGUCACUCUGGAAAUAACAUAUGAUGCAAUAAAUUUGUUUCUAAAUGCAUUUUGUUUCUAGCUGCCAUGAAUUCUUUACUUUUACAAAAUAUUGUUAUACAAAAAAUAUGUGAACUCACAGAAGUAAAAAAAUAUAGUUAAAUCAGAAAAAAAAAUAACUAUCAGACAAAAUGUAAUACCAAAUCAAGAAUAAAAUAAAUUCUUUUUAAAACUUGUAUCAUUAACAAC